rnacentral:rRNA from 1 species
UGGGGAAUCUUGGACAAUGGGGGCAACCCUGAUCCAGCGACGCCGCGUGGGUGAUGAAGGCCUUCGGGUUGUAAACCCCUUUUCUUGGUGACGAUGAUGACGGUAGCCAAGGAAUAAGCACCGGCUAACUCCGUGCCAGCAGCCGCGGUAAGACGGAGGGUGCUAGCGUUGUUCGGAUUUACUGGGCGUAAAGGGCGCGUAGGCGGCUUUGUAAGUCGGGUGUGAAAGCCCGGGGCUCAACCUCGGAACGGCACUCGAGACUGUGAGGCUGGUGAUCGGAAGAGGAGAGUGGAAUACCCAGUGUAGAGGUGAAAUUCGUAGAUAUUGGGUGGAACACCGGUGGCGAAAGCGGCUCUCUGGUCCGGAUCUGACGCUGAGGCGCGAAAGCGUGGGGAGCAAACAGGAUUAGAUACCCCUGUAGUCC